UUUAGCUUUAUUUUAACAAAAAAUCUUACAAUACAAUAAACAUAUGUUUCCUAUUGCACUCGAAUAACACAUUUUAGAAGGUUAAAAUAUAAAUUAAAGGGCAUUAAACACAUUGUGUUUUUCUUGUUGCACAAUUCCAUAAUCAAGAAUUAGGUAAGAAUAAAGUUAAAAAGCUUCAUUAACAUAAAAUUAAAUGAUUUAUGGUUGCCAAUCCGGGUCUGUGCUUUAAGAACAAUACACACAGCUGAGCCAUGUAGCAGGUAAAACACACAUCUGUUAUGUUUAGUGUAUAAUAAAAAUAAUGACAUUUUUCAAAAUAUGUUAAAGGUUACACUUGCAUGGAAAUGGCCUAAAAACGUAUUUUAAAAAUCUGAUUCUUAUUAAAAAAACAAAACUUUUUUAAAAAAAAUUGCAAAUCAAUUUAGAAUGGGGUUGAAUUGGAAUCGCAAUUCAGAUGUGAAUGGAUUUGUUUUGUGCAUCCUCUACGAUUCAGCAUUAAUCGCGGCGAUGAGGUCAUUGUCAAGUGUAACACGUUUAAAGCGCGUGCACAGCUGGAAGAAACUGCGGGAUAACGACCACUUAUGUACUGCCAUCUUGUGGAGUCAAUAGAAAAAACCCUACACCAGGACGUCGCCUACAGCCACAGUUGGUAAUACCAAUGUUUUUCCAUCCUGGAGUUAAUUGGAGACCCGCAUGUACACUCAUGACCUCAUGACACGUUUUAAUUAUAGUGCCUUAUUUUAGACUUUGGUCAGCUUGCCAGGGUUCACAAAAUCCACGGUUUGGAUCUUGUCACGGUUUUUGGUUUUGUGCACAUUGUUGUUUUUGUCCUCGUCCCCGUUUCUCCUCGCCGUCUGCUUGUUCCUAUCCCGUCGUGCUCACCAGAGGACCUUCGCCCAUGUCAAUGGGAGGAUCCUUUGCGACCCUGGAAUCCGAGCGGGAGAAGCUCAUUUCCUUCAAACAUAUACGCUCUCUGACCUCUGACCCUUGGCGUUCGACCUCCCGCCAGAAGCGGGCUCCCGCAGGAAACGCUCCCCCGCCAGGAGCGGGGCGGCUCCGGGGCGACCUUUGACCCACCGCCGCCGCGGACAACAAUGGCCGCUUGCAAGGGACACGUCUGAAAGGACAUAUUGCAACAACACU